rnacentral:lncRNA from 1 species
CAACAGCCAGUGUGAACGAAGCGCCACCCUCCGGGUCAGCCGAGCAUUUCCGCUUCCCACAGCCCCCUGGGAACGUGAAGUCAAAGCAAUGCGCACGCGCAGUGGCUUUGAAGGCGGGGCAACAAAGCCUGUGGCCGAUGUGGCGCUCCUGGGCCCGCGCUUCAGUGGUUAUGACAGUGUUCGCUCUAAGGGGAGAAGGAAUGUGUGACCAUUUCCAACGGUUAACUUGCAUUCCCCAGAUAGUUUGGAUGAGUUACAACCUAAAUCUGCAAACUCAAUACAGCCAGACCCUGGGAAGUGACCCUCUCCAAGCCUCCUGUACAAGUCCCAGGAAAAGAGCCUGUUUUCCCUUGGACAUGUGAGCAGUGAAUUACUGCUCAUUCAGAAUUUCAUGUGUAUGUGUUACUGAUGGCCAGGUUUAGAGAUACCAACCUAUUUAUUUCUAGAGGAGAGAUAUCACUAUCUUUUCAGAUAUCACUAUCAGUAGGCAGAAAAGGGUUAAUAGUAUGAUAGGGUUAAUAUGUCCUGAGGAGAGUAAAGAAACUGCAAACUGCAGAAGCACCUGAUCUGUGGCCCUGGCCAGCAUCUCUCCAUAUCCUGAUUCUGUAAGAUCAAGUGUUUAUGCAGAAAGAGAAGGGACUGAUGAUUUGAAUGUGACCAGAUGCAGGGCAUGCCCUUAUUGCCAUGCCAGCAUUUGCUAUUCAUGAUGUUAGUAUUCAAAAAUCAAGAAACACCCUUCCUGGGCCAUUGGUGUCUACUAAUCCAUUGGAAGAAAAGACUGGAAUCCACCACUUACUAGCUUCUUGGGCCUCAGUCCCCUCUUUUCUGCCAUAGCUAAGGACCACCUAACCUAGAUGGCUGUUGUUAUUGUUCAAAGGGACAUCUUUAGAGCCUCAAGCCCAGGAAUAGCCCGUGGCAGGCACCUGGUAAAUGUUAGUUUUCAUUGUCCUAUCCCAACACUAUGAAACAUGCAGCACUCUCUGCAACUGCCCCUGUGGAUUUCCAUAG